AUAGUGAACCAGUACCGUGAGGGAAAGGCGAAAAGAACCCCGGCGAGGGGAGUGAAAAAGAACCUGAAACCGUGUACGUACAAGCAGUGGGAGCACAGAGCAAUCUGUGUGACUGCGUACCUUUUGUAUAAUGGGUCAGCGACUUAUAUUCUGUAGCAAGGUUAACCGAAUAGGGGAGCCGAAGGGAAACCGAGUCUUAACUGGGCGUUAAGUUGCAGGGUAUAGACCCGAAACCCGGUGAUCUAGCCAUGGGCAGGUUGAAGGUUGGGUAACACUAACUGGAGGACCGAACCGACUAAUGUUGAAAAAUUAGCGGAUGACUUGUGGCUGGGGGUGAAAGGCCAAUCAAACCGGGAGAUAGCUGGUUCUCCCCGAAAGCUAUUUAGGUAGCGCCUCGUGAAUUCAUCUCCGGGGGUAGAGCACUGUUUCGGCAAGGGGGUCAUCCCGACUUACCAACCCGAUGCAAACUGCGAAUACCGGAGAAUGUUAUCACGGGAGACACACGGCGGGUGCUAACGUCCGUCGUGAAGAGGGAAACAACCCAGACCGCCAGCUAAGGUCCCAAAGUCAUGGUUAAGUGGGAAACGAUGUGGGAAGGCCCAGACAGCCAGGAUGUUGGCUUAGAAGCAGCCAUCAUUUAAAGAAAGCGUAAUAGCUCACUGGUCGAGUCGGCCUGCGCGGAAGAUGUAACGGGGCUAAACCAUGCAC
rnacentral:rRNA from 1 species